GUGCUGGCGCAGCUACCAUGCAGUCGAGCGGUAGCACAGAGAAGCUUGCUUCUUGGGUGACGAGCGGGGGACGGGUGAGUAAUGCAUAGGAAUCUGCCCGAUAGUGGGGGAUAACCUGGGGAAACCCAGGCUAAUACCGCAUACGUCCUACGGGAGAAAGGGGGCUUCGGCUCCCGCUAUGGGAUGAGCCUAUGUCGGAUUAGCUAGUUGGUGAGGUAACGGCUCACCAAGGCAACGAUCCGUAUCUGGUCUGAAAGGAUGAUCAACCACAUCGGGACUGAGACACGGCCCGAACUCCUACGGGAGGCAGCACUGGGGAAUAUUGGACAAUGGGCGCAAGCCUGAUCCAACCAUGCCGCGUGUGUGAAGAAGGCCCUCAGGUUGUAAAGCACUUUCAACGAGGAACAACGCCUAUCGGUUAAUACCCGCUAGGAAAGACAUCACUCGCAAAAGAAGCACCGGCUAACUCCGUGCCAGCAGCCGCGGUAAUACGGAGGGUGCAAGCGUUAAUCGG
rnacentral:rRNA from 1 species